UUUAAAGCCAUUGUUUCCUUGUUGGUUUUCCACUUAUUUAUCUGCCCAUUAAUGUAAGGGUGGGUGUUAAAGUCCCCUGCUAUUAUUGUAUUAUUAUCAAUGAGUUCCUCCAUAUUUGUUAUUAAUGGUUUUAUAGAUUUGGUGUUCUAUGUGGG